rnacentral:rRNA from 1 species
GGUCAUGGCGGCAGCUUACACAUGCAGUCGAACGGUAGAGCAGCAAUGCUUGAGAGUGGCGAACGGGUGAGUAAUAUAUCGGAACGUGCCCAGUCGUGGGGGAUAACGUAGAGAAAUUUACGCUAAUACCGCAUACGAUCUAAGGAUGAAAGCGGGGGACUCGCAAGAGCCUCGCGCGAUUGGAGCGGCUGAUAUCAGAUUAGGUUGUUGGUGAGGUAAAAGCUCACCAAGCCGACGAUCUGUAGCUGGUUUGAGAGAACGACCAGCCACACUGGGACUGAGACACGGCCCAGACUCCUACGGGAGGCAGCAGUGGGGAAUUUUGGACAAUGGGCGAAAGCCUGAUCCAGCAAUGCCGCGUGUGGGAAGAAGGCCUUCCGGUUGUAAACCACUUUUGUACGGAACGAUAUGGUCUGCCUUAAUACGGCGGGCUAAUGACGGUUCCGUAAGAAUAAGCACCGGCUAAUUACGUGCCAGCAUCCGCGGUAAUAUUUAUGGUGCGAGCGUUAACCGGAAUUACUGGUCGUAAAGCGUGCGCAGGCGGCUAUAUAAAACAUUU